rnacentral:tRNA from 1 species
ACCUGGGUGGCUGAGUUGGUUAAGUGUCUGACUUCAGAUCAGGUCAUAAUCUCAUGGUCUGUGAGUUCGAGCCCCGCAUCGGGCU